rnacentral:rRNA from 1 species
CCUACGUGAGGCAGCAGUAGGGAAUAUUGCUCAAUGGGGGAAACCCUGAAGCAGCAACGCCGCGUGGAGGAUGAAGGUUUUCGGAUUGUAAACUUCUUUUGUUAGAGAAGAGAAGGACGGUACCUAAGGAAUAAGCACCGGCUAACUCCGUGCCAGCAGCCGCGGUAAUACGGAGGGUGCAAGCGUUACUCGGAAUAACUGGGCGUAAAGAGCGCGUAGGGGGGUUAGCAAGUCAGAUGUGAAAUCCUAUGGCUUACCCAUAGAACUGCAUUUGAAACUGUUAUUCUUGAGUAUGGGAGAGGUAGGUGGAAUUCUUGGUGUAGUGGUCCAAUCCUUAGAUAUCACG